rnacentral:lncRNA from 10 species
CAACAGGACAUAAUUGGAGAAAUCGGUUAUUUCACCAAGGAUUUGAUUGGAAUGACAUGCUUUCCUUUUAGGAAUCAAACUUGACUUGUAAAGCCAAUAAAAGCCUUUUGAGGAACUGGCCUCAUACCUUGCCUACACAGUCUCUGUACAGGGUAUCUGACCUGAGGUAAGUAAAGAAUGUCUCUUUCUAACAGGUCCAGAAGCCCCAAUUUAUCUUGGGACCACAAGAGGAGAGGAACUUACUCAACUCAUAGGGCUAACCUUGCUUGUUCCUGUGAACCAACAAGUGAUCUCUAACUGCUGCUCAGAAGAAACAAGAGGGAUGGGUAAUGUAAAAAUCUGGAUCAGUAUUCUAAUCCUGGGCAUGUAUUGGAAUCAUCUAGAAGCCCCAUAUCAGCUUGGGUUCAACAGUUGCCCAGUUCAUGGAAAGUCUUCUAAUUUACUUUACUUGGGAUAAUUUUACUUAUUUUGCUUUACUCUUGUGGAACAUAUUGCUGUUGUACUCUUCAUGUAGGAAUGCAGAAUAAGCUUACUGAAUUACAUAUAUAUAUAUAUAUAUAUAUGCUUUAAGUUCUGGGGUACAUGUGCAGAACGUGCAGUUUUGUUACAUAGGUAUACACGUGCCAUGGUGGUUUGCUGCACCCAUCAACCCGUCAUCUACAUUAGGUAUUUCUCCUAAUGUUAUAUCUCCCCUAGCCCCCCACCACCUGACAGACCCCGGUGUAUGAUGUUCCCCUCCCUAUGUCCAUGUGUUCUCAUUGUUCAACUCCCACUUAUGAGUGAGAACAUGCAGUGUUUGGUUUUCUGUUCUUGUCAUAGUUUGCUGAGAAUGAUGGUUUCCAGCUUCAUCCAUGUCCCAGCAAAGGACAUAAACUCAUCCUUUUCAUGGCUGCAUAGUAUUCCAUGGUGUAUAUGUGCCACAUUGUCUUUAUCCAGUCUACUGUUGAUGGACUUUUGGCUUGGUUCCAAGUCUCUGCUAUUGUGAAUAGUACCACAAUAAACAUACGUGUGUAUGUGUCUUUAUAGUAGAAUGAUUUAUAACCCUUUGGGUAUAUACCCAGUAAUGGGAUUUUGGGGUCAAAUGGUAUUUCUAGUUCUAGAUCCUUGAGGAAUCACCACACUGUCUUCCACAAUGGUUGAACUAAUGUAUACUCCCAAUAGUGUAAAAGUGUCCCUAUUUCUCCACAUCCUCUCCAGCAUCUGUUGUUUCCUGACUUUUUAAUGAUCGCCAUUCUAACUGGCAUGAGAUGGUACCUCAUUGUGGUUUUGGUUUGCAUUUCUCUAAUGACCAGUGAUGAUGAGCUUUUUUUCAUAUGUCUGUUGGCUGCAUAAAUGUCUUCUUUUAAGAAGUGUCUGUUCAUAUCCUUCACCCACUUUUUGAUGGGGUUGUUUGUUUUUUUCUUGUAAAUUUGUUUAAGUUCAUUGUAGAUUCUGGAUAUUAACCCAUUGUCAGAUGGAUAGAUUGGAAAAAUUUUCUCCCAUUCUGUAGGUUGUCUGUUCACUCUGAUGAUAGUUUCUUUUGCUGUGCAGAAGCUCUUUAGUUUAAUUAGAUCCCAUUUGUCAAUUUUGGCUUUUGUCACCAUUGCUUUUAGUAUUUUAGACAUGAAGUCUUUGCCCAUGCCUAUGUCCUGAAUGGUAUUGCCCAGGUUUUCUUCUAGGAUUUUUAUGGUCCUAGGUCUUACAUUUAAGUCUUUGAUCCAUCUUGAGUUGAUUUUUGUAUAAGGUGUAAGGAAGGGGUCCAGUUUCCAUUUUCUGCAUAUGGCUAGCCAGUUUUCCCAACACCGUUUAUUAAGUAGGGAAUCUUUUCUCCAUUACUUGUGUCAAGUUUGUCAUUAUGACACUAGCUGGUUGUUUUGCCCAUUAGUUGAUGCAGUUUCUUCAUAAUGUCGAUGGUCUUUACAAUUUGGUAUGGUUUUUCAGUGGCUGGUACCGGUUGUUCCUUUCCAUGUUUAGUGUUUCCUUCAAGAACCCUUGUAAGGCAGGCCUGGUGAUGACAAAAAUCUCUCAGCAUUUGCUUGUCUGUAAAGGAUGUUAUUUCUCCUACACUUAUGAAGCUUAGUUUGGCUGGAUAUGAAAUUCUGAGUUGAAAAUUCUUUUCUUUAAGAAUGUUGAAUAUUGGCCUCCACUCUCUUCUGGCUUGUAGGGUUUCUGCAAAGAGAUCCGCUGUUAGUCUGAUGGGCUUCCCUUUUUGGGUAACCUGACCUUUCUCUCUGGCUUCCCUUAAUAUUUUUCCAUUCAUUUCAACCUUGGUGAAUCUGAUAAUUAUAUGUCUUGGGGUUGCUCUUUGUGGUGUUCUAUUUCCUGAAUUUGAAUGUUGGCCUGCCUUGCUAGGUUGGGGAAGUUCUCCUGGAUAAUCUCCUGAAGAGUGUUUUCCAUUUGGUUCCAUUCUCCUCAUCACUUUCAGGUACACCAAUUGAACACGGUUUGUUCAUUUCACGUAGUCCUAUAUUUCUUGGAGGCUUUGUUAAUUCCUUUUAAUUUUUUUCUCUCUAAUCUUUUCUUCUCUCUUUAUUUCAUUAAGUUGAUCUUAAAUCACUGUUAUCCUUUCUUCUGCUUGAUCAUUGCAGCUAUUGAAACUUGUGUAUGCUUCACGAAGUUCUCCUGCUGUGUUUUUCAGCUCCAUCAGGUCAUUUAUGUUCUUCUCUACACUGGUUAUUCUAGUUAGCAAUUCAUCUAACCUUUUUUCAAGGUUGUUAGCUUCCUUGCAUUGGGUUAGAACAUGCUCCUUUAGCUCGGAGGAGUUUGUUAUUACCCACCUUCUGAAGUCUACUUCCAUCAAUUUGUCAAACUCAUUCUCUGUCCAGUUUUGUUCCCUUGCUAGUGAGAAGUUGUGAUCCUUUGGAGGAUAAGAGGUGUUCUGGUUUUUGGAAUUUUCAUCCUUUUUGCGCUGGUUUCUCCCCAACUUUGUGGAUGUAUCUACCUUUCUUCUUUGAUGUUGGUGGCCUUCAGAUGGGGUCUUUGAGUGGACGUGCUAUUCCUUUCUGUUUAUUAAUUUUCCUUCUGACAGUCAGGCUCCUCUGCUGCCAGUCUGCUGGAAUUUGCUGGGGGUCCACUCCCGACCCUGUUUGCCUAGGUAUCACCAGCGAAUGCUCAACUGGAAAUGCAGAAAUCACCCACCUUCUGUGCCAAUCUCGCUGGGAGCUGCAGACCGAAGCUGUUCCUAUUCAGCCAUCUUGCUAGCAAAUGCCUGAAUGUUUUCUUAAACUGAACACCUAUUGAUCUUCCAGAUAUCACCAAGAAUCAUGAAUGGCCCUCACCAUACUGAUGCGUUCUGACUGAGCUUCUCUCUACCCUGAACACAAGAGACCCUAAUAGGCAGGAAUGUCAUCACCCCUAUUCAGCCUGAAGAAGUUAUAGAAGAUGGAUCUUUUUCCCUCUGCAACCUUUAGGAUUAUGGGUUCUUUUAUAAAAAGAGAGGGGGGAAAUGUCAGAGGAGCGUGAACCAGAGCAACUCCAUCUUGAAUGGGAACUGGGUAAAAUGAGGCUGAGACCUAAUGGGCUGCAUUCCCAGAUGGUUAAGGCAUUCUAAGUCACAGGAUGAAAUAGGAGUCGGUGCAAGAUACAGGUCAUGAAGACCUUGCUGAUAAAAUAGGUUGCAGUAAAGAAGGUGGCCAAAACCCACCAAAACCAAGAUGACCACAAGAGUAUCCUCUGGUCAUCUUCUCUGCUACACUCUCACCAGAGCCAUGACAGUUGACAAAUGCCAUGGCAAUGUCAGGAAGUUUCCCUAUAUGGUCUAAAAAGGAGAGGCAUGAAUAAUCCACCCCUUGUUUAGCAUAUUAUCAAGAAAUAACCAUAAAAAUGGGCAACCAGCAGCCCUCGGGGCUUCUCUGUUUAUGGAGUAGCCAUUCUCGUAUCCUUCUACUUUCUUAAACUUUCUUUCACUUACAAAAAAAUAGUGGAACUCAGAAGUAGAGAAUAAAAUGGUGGUUACCAAGUUCUGGAGAGGUGGGGGAUUAGAAGAUGUUGUUCAAAGAAUACAAAAUUUCAGUUAGGCAGGAAGAAUGAGUUCCAAAGAUCUAUUGUACAAUACAGUGAUACAUACUUAAUGACAAUGUACUGUAUAUGUGAAAAUUGCUAAGAGCACAUUUUCGGUAUUCUCACCACAAAGAAAUGAUGUGAGGUAAUGCAUAUGUUAAACAGCUUGAUUUAGCCAUUCCACACAUAUACAUAUUUCAGAACAUCGUGUUGUAUCCCGUUAAAUAUGUACAAUUUUGUUUGUCAAAAAGUGAAAAGAGAAAAGAAGGUAAACUCUGUUAUUGCAUGCAGUGGUCCACAAAUAUCAUUUAUGUCAAACUGUUAAACAUUCUUGUUCAAAUUACCUAUAUCCUUAAAAAUUUGUUAACUAAACUGUUUUAUCAGUUACUGAAUUAUGUUUAAAUCAUUACUUAUGACUGCAAUUUUAUUCAUUUAUCCUUUUAUUUCUGUCAAAUUUUGUUUUACAUAUUUCAACUAUUGAUAGGGUUGAAUACAAAUUUAUAAAUAUGCCUUACAACUGAAUUGAUCCCUUUAUCAUUAAAAAUAUUCAUCUUUAUAUAAGGUAAUAUCUCUUGAUUCAAAGUAUAU